ensembl:lncRNA novel transcript, antisense to GALNT12
UUGUGGCAAAUGCUACAGUAAUGACCAGACACAUCACACCCGCCUUCUAGAAGCCCUCCCUCACAAACCGGAUCAACUGCUAUGAUAAAGUGUCCACUACCAUUCCUUGAGGGCUUACAAUGGCUUCUGGUUGGGAGAAAGAUGGGAAGAGGAGGACAUUCAAGAAGAUCAGAGACGUCUGGGGUGUGCAGAAGUAUUUUUCCUUCUUAUUUUCCUGUAUUCAAUAGGUAACACCAUGGUGUGUGGCUUUUCUGGGCAGCCUGCAAAUGUCAUUGCUAGUGACAACAUUUUUCUGCAGGAAAACAUAUUCCAGCUUUUAAUCAUCUUUAGAAUAAACCCAUUUAUAAGCAGUA